rnacentral:snRNA from 1 species
AGCUUUGCAGAGUGGCAGUAGCGUAGCCAAUGAGGUUCAUCCAAGGUGUGAUUAUUGCUAAUUAAAUAUAAGCAAAUUCAU